GACGAACGCUGGAGGCGUGCUUAACACAUGCAAGUCGAACGAUGAAAUGGAGCUUGCUCCAUGGAUUAGUGGCGAACGGGUGAGUAACACGUGAAUAACCUGCCCUUAAUUUUGGAAUAACCCAGGAAACCUGGGCUAAUACCGGAUAAGUAAACCUGUGGCAUCACAUGGUUUUGGAAAGUUUUUCGAUUAAGGAUGGAUUCGCGGCCUAUCAGCUUGUUGGUGAGGUAAUGGCUCACCAAGGCGACGACGGGUAGCCGGCCUGAGAGGGUGAACGGCCACACUGGGACUGAGACACAGCCCAGACUCCUACGGGAGGCAGCAGUGGGGAAUAUUGCGCAAUGGGCGAAAGUCUGACGCAGCGACGCCUCGUGAAGGACGAAGGUCUUCGGAUUGUAAACCUCUUUCAGCAGGGACGAAGCGAAAGUGACGGUACCUGCAGAAGAAGCACCGGCUAACUAUGUGCCAGCCGCCGCGGUAA
rnacentral:rRNA from 1 species